GAGCGAACAGGACGAGGAAGCUUGCUUCUCUGAUGUUAGCGGCGGACGGGUGAGUAACACGUGGAUAACCUACCUAUAAGACUGGGAUAACUUCGGGAAACCGGAGCUAAUACCGGAUAAUAUUUUGAACCGCAUGGUUCAAAAGUGAAAGACGGUCUUGCUGUCACUUAUAGAUGGAUCCGCGCUGCAUUAGCUAGUUGGUAAGGUAACGGCUUACCAAGGCAACGAUGCAUAGCCGACCUGAGAGGGUGAUCGGCCACACUGGAACUGAGACACGGUCCAGACUCCUACGGGAGGCAGCAGUAGGGAAUCUUCCGCAAUGGGCGAAAGCCUGACGGAGCAACGCCGCGUGAGUGAUGAAGGUCUUCGGAUCGUAAAACUCUGUUAUUAGGGAAGAACAUAUGUGUAAGUAACUGUGCACAUCUUGACGGUACCUAAUCAGAAAGCCACGGCUAACUACGUGC
rnacentral:rRNA from 1 species